UUUACUCUUGGAAUGCAGGAUCUGCCACACC
rnacentral:piRNA from 1 species